rnacentral:misc_RNA from 1 species
GAUGAAAACGCAGUGAAAUGCGAUAAGUAGUGUGAAUUGCAGAAUUCAGUGAAUCAUCGAAUCUUUGAACGCACAUUGCGCCCCUCGGUAUUCCGUGGGGCAUGCCUGUUCGAGCGUCAUCUACACCCUCAAGCUCUGCUUGGUGUUGGGCGUCUGUCCCGCCUCCGCGCGUGGACUCGCCCCAAAUUCAUUGGCAGCGGUCCUUGCCUCCUCUCGCGCAGCACAUUGCGCUUCUUGAGGGGCUCCGGUUCGCGUCCAACAAGCACAUUUACCGUCUUUGACCUCGGAUCAGGUAGGGAUACCCGCUGAACUUAAGCAUAUCAAUAAGCGGAGGA